GGAAAGUUUAUUGGCAGACAUUUUCGAAGAGAGCAGGAACAGUUUUUUAUAGUUUAGUGUUCAUAAUAUUUUUAGUGAUUUAUUAUUAUGGAGAAAAUUCUAGACGAAUGGGAAUUGGCCGAUUUGAUUCCAAUAUUCAAGGAGUAUGGAGUAACACCUGAUAAUAUAACUGAACUAACAGAAAGCCUAAUUAAGGAAUUGAUCCCUAAUAUCGGAAAAAGGAUGAAAUUCACUGAGAAGUGGAUUAAGAUAGUGGAGUCGUCGGUAUGUACUCAAGUAUGUUUUCUUUUCAUUCAUUAUUUUUGUGAUGUGAUAUUUUUUUAAUUUUUGUUAUACGUUUUUUUUAUGAUAAUAUAUUAUAUAUUUUUGACGAAUGUUAUAUGUUUAUGUUGAGAAAAUAAAAUGUGUUCAAUUUUUUCCUUUGUAAAUUCUGUUAUCACCCAAAAUUCCAUUUUCAGGUA